ACGCCGCGUGAGUGAAGAAGGUCUUCGGAUCGUAAAGCUCUGUUGCACGGGACGAAAACUGGGUUUGAAAACAUUGAACCUGGGUGACGGUACCGAGCGAGGAAGCCACGGCUAACUACGUGCCAGCAGCCGCGGUAAUACGUAGGUGGCGAGCGUUGUCCGGAAUUAUUGGGCGUAAAGGGAGCGCAGGCGGACAUAUAAGUCCAUCUUAAAAGUGCGGGGCUCAACCCCGUGAGGGGAUGGAAACUGUAUGCCUUGAGUGCAGGAGAGGAAAGCGGAAUUCCCAGUGUAGCGGUGAAAUGCGUAGAUAUUGGGAGGAACACCAGUGGCGAAGGCGGCUUUCUGGACUGUAACUGACGCUGAGGCUCGAAAGCCAGGGGAGCGAACGGGAUUAGAUACCCCGGUAGUCCUGGCCGUAAAUGAUGAAUGCUAGGUGUAGGAGGUAUCGACCCCUCCUGUGCCGGAGUUAACGCAAUAAGCAUUCCGCCUGGGGAGUCGGUCGCGAGACUGAAACUCAAAGGAAUUGACGGGGGCCCGCACAAGCGGUGGAGUAUGUGGUUUAAUUC
rnacentral:rRNA from 1 species